UACGUAGGGUGCAAGCGUUGUCCGGAAUUAUUGGGCGUAAAGAGCUCGUAGGCGGUCUGUCGCGUCGGCUGUGAAAACCCGGGGCUCAACCCCGGGCCUGCAGUCGAUACGGGCAGACUAGAGUGCGGUAGGGGAGACUGGAAUUCCUGGUGUAGCGGUGAAAUGCGUAGAUAUCAAGUGGAACACCAGUGGCGAAGGCGAGUCUCUGGACAUUUCCUGACGCUGAGGCACGAAAGCCAGGGGAGCAAACGGG
rnacentral:rRNA from 1 species